CAGGACACUAUGUAUAAAAUUAAAAUUUUAUAGUCAGCAGAGUAAAGAUAGAAAAUGAAAAAAGAAUGGCAAGGUGAGAAGUCUAUCCUUAAAAAUCUGAAUGAUGGGGUGCCUGGGUGGCUCAGUGGGUUAAAGCCUCUGCCUUUGGCUC